rnacentral:lncRNA from 1 species
GUGUUCUCCACAGGGACUAGGCGACGACGACUAUGCUCGGCUAAAUCUAGGUAACACAAUUUUAAGAGAUGAAUGCAGAAAAUAAAACCUAAACUAACAAGGUCGUUCCCAAAGAUCGUCGACAAAGAAAAUGCAAAAAAAAGUACAGAAAGGUUCAGAUUAUCUUCAACAAUCUUUUUGGUAUUUUCUAUAUGCUUGAGAAAUUAGAACACUAACACAGGCGAACAUCAUCACACAAGAGAAUCAACAAGACUAGAACACAUAGGUUUAUCUAACAUGUACAGAGAGAAGAAUCAUGGAUAUAGGACAGACUUGAUAUAACUCACAUUACAAACACACACAUAUGUAUAUAUAUCACAGGACACCACACACAUAUGAAGAAUACUGUUUCACUAAACAAAGUAUGACAGGUCAAAUAUUUAUCAAAGUGACAAGGUAUCAACUAGUCAGGACAAAGGACAUACUAAUCAAGCAUUUAUAUUAAACUUCAAAACUGAACCAAAUAGUAGGAUAUUACACUUAUCAAAUCUGAACAUUACAUAGUACUGAUUAUUACACUUCUGAAGGUCACAGAAAUUUGAGAGAGAGAGAGAGAGAGAGAGGGAACAGCAGCAAGAUUGGGAAUGGAGCAGUAGCAGGGACGUGAGGAGAAGCAGCAGCAGGAGGUUGAGAAAAGAAGUAGCAGCAGGUUGGGGCAAGGGAAGGUGAAGAGCAGCAGCAGGUUCAGUAAAAGGAGAGGACCAGCGAGAUGCACGGAGAAGAAAGAAGCAGAGAUGAGGUGGCAGCAGUUCAGCAGGGGAUUCAGAGGAGGAGCAGCAACAAGGGGCGCAAGAAGAAGCAGCAGCAGGUCAUGUUGAGGAAGAAGCAGGAGGUUCGUGGGGAAGAAGAAGAAGCAAGAGCAGCAGAGUUAAGGGAAGAGAAGAAGAGAAGCAGCGGAGCAGCAGCAGUUUCGUGCAGAUGAGGGUUUCAGCAGGGAGGCGCAAAUGGAUGGUGAUGUAUGGGUGGUGCUGGUGACGCGGUGGUGCUGAUGGCACGCCGCCACGCCGGCCUGGCCGCGGCGGCGGCCGGAGGUGGAGAAGGAGGGGUGAGGGAGAGAGAUGUGUGCCAGGCUCCAUUGGAUCCCUCCAGCGCCUAGGGAUUUUGUUCCCCUCCUCUCAUCUGCACUUUGUGAUUCAGCCCUCUUACUUCUCUUCUUUCUUCACAAGAAGAUCCCUCCAACUUUAGCUUGGCCCCUCUCGUUACAUCUUUUCUUCACGGCGGGUCCAUUCUUCCUCCUCUUCUUCGUUCUCUUAGCCACUUAGUCUGGAUCUUGAAGAUUUAUAGUGCCUUUGCGCACAUUUCUGCAAAAUAGACCAAAGACUAGUAAAUGAUCCUUUAAUAUGAUUUUCAUGCAAAUAUUCAAUAUUUCACAGCAAUAAUUGAUGGACAUAUCUCAAUAAACCGCAUAUUUGAGUGCCAAAAGAUGUAUAGGAAAUGUGCUUAUCAAGUUCCCCCACACUUAAAUCUUUACUUGUCCUCAAGUAAAGGCAUAUGACAAGAGCAGGAUAGUGAAUAGUGAGCUGACUAGAGAAUGCCAAGUGAAGUAGAUCUCUAAACAAUGCAUGCUUCAAACUUAGUUAAUGGAAAUUAAUGGUAGAGUGCUACAAAGCAGUAGGAUAUUAGUAGACUUGACCAUUUUAAACUUUUACAAUGAUAAAAGAAGAUUAGCAAGUUCAAAUGUUGAUUGUGCCAAAAGGUUCCUAAAGAGAGCAUGAUCCCAAAAACAAAAAGAAGUUAAACUUGUGAUCAGAUCACUUAUUACCAGGAACAAAAAAUUGCAGUUGAAAGCACUUAUUGUAUUUGAAGAAAGUAAUGAUAAUGUUUUUUCGAUCUCACCAAAGGAAAAUACCACCGAUCCCGAGAACAUGAUAUACACCUGGCUCGACCAAUUAUUAGUUAGUUUUUUUGUUUGUCUCCCCAAAGGAACAUACCACCGAUCCAGAGAACAUGGUAUACACCUGGUUCGACAAUUACAAUUUUAUUAGUAAUUACUGCCCGAGCUAACCCGAUUUCACAUGCCACCGAUAGUCAGAAUUAUUUAUUCAUUAUAAGAUAUACUUUUAUUUUUAUUUUUCAAAUGAACAAAAACAAGAAUCAUCACUCAUCCAUGUCUAGUUCACAUGCUACCAAUCCAGAGAACAUAGCAUGCUAAUCCAUAGUGGUAAGUGAUUGCUCUAAAUGGGAACACAUUUGGCACAAAAUCAGCAUCUAAACAUGGUGAUCUAGGUGUAUCAAUGUAAAUGCAGAAAAUGAUGGAAGUUUUCUAGUGUACUAGGGCUUUGAGCACUCAAAACUAAUAACUUCCACUAAUUUCAGCAAAGCAAGCAAUAUGUAGGUCACUAGUUUACAAGGCAUUCAACAAUCAGUUCUCAUGUUCACAUCAAGCACAAUAUGUCAAAUAAAAUUCAGUGGGACAUCAUUUAAGAAAUGGCUCAAGCAACUCAAAUAUCGAAUGAUUUCAGCAUUAUCAACGGAUGAUAUAUUCAGAUUGGGGUCAUGAAACAGCUCACCGGGCUUUGAUGGUGUAGCACUCGCUCGAUCAUCUCUAAGCUACUCCUCUUCUCCUUUGCUUCCUCAUGGAUGCUCCAACUUCACUCUUCUUCGUGGCGUGAAUCCACCAGGAUCCCAUGAGAUGUCAUCUCGAACUUGGUCAGCCCGCAACCAAUGGUGCACAAGCAUAAACCUGAAAGCACACUCAACAACCAAAGCAAUACAAAUGAUAGGGACAAUGCCCUCUAAGUCAUCAAUAGAGUAUCCUAUCACAUAAGCAUAUCUAUUGAGCAUAUGAUAAAUAGAUAUCAUCAAUAAAUCGCAUGGUGCAUAGGUUGUAUCCAUGAUAUGGCAUAUCUUGUCGAGAAAGCUGAUAUCAUACCUGAGAUACUUGGGAAGAAGCUUCAGGACUACCUCAAUUGAAGAUACCAAGUGAGGUGUGGUAGUAGAAAUUUCCACCGGACUCAUGUCAACAAGUGAAAUAGUAGAGCUUGGCUCCUUGACAUCUGAAUCCACCUCACCAUACUCAACCAUGAAGCUCUCCAUCUCAGGCUCAAGUGUUGAGGAAGCAAUACGGCUAACAUCAUCGAAGGUGAACUUCUCCAUAUCUGGCUCUAGCAGCACAUGAUCAAUAUCAACUAAAGGUGACUCCUCAAUAUCAAAAACAACUAACUGCAGCUCUGGCUCAUCAAUGGAAGAAUCAUCACAAUGCAAAACCGAGUCUCCAACACUAGUAUCCAUAUGAUCUGUAGCAUGUGUGUCGACUAGAAUGGUGUCAUCAUCGUCAAAGAUAAUCCAUGCAAGCUCAAUCUUGUCACACUGAGAUAGAGGUUCAGGCUUCUGUGUAAGAAUUGGUGGCUGAGGUGUAGUGAUUUGUUGCAAGCAAACCAAUGAAUCAGACGUGGGCUUCUUAUUGUACCACUGAAGUUGGUGGAAAGCUAUGCUCUCAAUCAGCAGAAAAGCUUCAUCAAGUGUCUUGUUUGUAAUAGCUCCACCCGCUGCCAUAUCGACAUAAGCUCGAGUGUCCGAAGUCAAUCCUCUAUAGAAUAUCUGCAGCUCUAACCAUCUCUGGAGCCCAUGAUUAGGACAUCUCCUGAAUAAAUCUUUGUAUCUCUCCCAAGCAUCAUUCAAGCUCUCGCCUUCACGCUGAACGAAAUUGAAGAUCUCAUCUCGAAUUGCGAACUGCUUGUGUAGUGGGAAAUAUUUAUCCAAGAAAGCUCAUAAUAUCUCAUUCCAACCGAAUGAUCUUGAUGGCAAGGAUCGAUACCAAGCACGAGCACCAUCUCAGAGAGAGAAUGUGAACGGCAUGCACUUGAUAGCUUCUUGAGGAACUCCAUGGUACUUUACUGUAUCUGAAUACUACAUGACUCGGAGCAAGUGCUCGUAAGGAUCUUCAUUAGGCAACCCUCCAAACUGAUGUUGUUGAACCAAAGCAAUAAGACCAGGCUUUAGCUCAAAAUUUUCUGCCUCAAAAGACGGCCAAAGUGGCCCUGUGAAAUAGCAUUGGCUGCUUGGCAUCCAAACAUCAUGAAGCAUCGCCAUAUCUCCGCCAAGUGUAACUAUCAAUCAACCUGUAAAUAGUUCAGAUUUCCUACGCACACUCAUAAACAGUAAAUACUAGUCAGAAUGUUAGUAUCCUAAUAAGCCGAAGCAACAACAAGGAAAAAAUAUAAAAGAAACGCAGAAAAUGAAAUACACGACGAAUUAAACACGGAACUAAAAUAAACCUAGUCUAUAGCCUAACACGGUCACUCGACCCUAGUCCCCGGCAACGGCGCCAAAAUGAUCGAAAGUAAGUAUAGUAGGGUUUUUACGCCCCAAACUACGGAUGUCGUGUUCUCCACAGGGACUAGGCGACGACGACUAUGCUCGGCUAAAUCUAGGUAACACAAUUUUAAGAGAUGAAUGCAGAAAAUAAAACCUAAACUAACAAGGUCGUUCCCAAAGAUCAUCGACAAAGAAAAUGCAAAAAAAAGUACAGAAAGGUUCAGAUUAUCUUCAACAAUAUUUUUGGUAUUCUCUAUAUGCUUGAGAACUUAGAACACUAACACAGGCGAACAUCAUCACACAAGAGAAUCAACAAGACUAGAACACAUAGGUUUAUCUAACAUGUACAGAGAGAAGAAUCAUGGAUAUAGGACAGACUUGAUAUAACUCACAUUACAAACACACACAUAUGUAUAUAUAUCACAGGACACCACACACAUAUGAAGAAUACUGUUUCACUAAACAAAGUAUGACAGGUCAAAUAUUUAUCAAAGUGACAAGGUAUCAACUAGUCAGGACAAAGGACAUACUAAUCAAGCAUUUAUAUUAAACUUCGAAACUGAACCAAACAGUAGGAUAUUACACUUAUCAAAUCUGAACAUUACAUAGUACUGAUUAUUACACUUCUGAAGGUCACAGAAAUUUGAGAGAGAGAGAGAGAGAGAGAGAGAGAGAGAGAGAGAGAGAGAGAGAGAGAGAACAACAGCAAGAUUGGGAAUGGAGCAGCAGCAGGGACGUGAGGAGAAGCACCAGCAGGAGGUUGAGAGAUGAAGUAGCAGCAGGUUGGGGCAAGGGAAGGUGAAGAGCAGCAGCAGGUUCAGUAAAAGGAGAGGAGCAGCGAAAUGCACGGAGAAGAAAGAAGCAGAGAUGAGGUGGCAGUAGUUCAGCAGGGGAUUCAGAGGAGGAGGAGCAACAAGGGGCGCAAGAAGAAGCAGCAGCAGGUCAUGUUGAGGAAGAAGCAGGAGGUUCGUGGGGAAGAAGAAGAAGCAAGAGCAGCAGCAGAGGUAAGGGAAGAGAAGAAGAGACGCAGCGGAGCAGCAGCAGUUUCGAGCAGAGGAGGGUUUCAGCAGGGAGGCGCAAAUGGAUGGUGAUGUAUGGGUGGUGCUGGUGACGCGGUGGUGCUGAUGGCACGCCGCCACGCCGGCCUGGCCGCGGCGGCGCCCGGAGGUGGAGAAGGAGGGGUGAGGGAGAGAGAUGUUUGCAGGCUCCAUUGGAUCCCUCCAGCGCCUAGGGAUUUUGUUCCCCUCCUCUCAUCUACACUUUGUGAUUUAGCCCACUUACUUCUCUUCUUUCUUCACAAGAAGAUCCCUCCAACUUUAGCUUGGCCCCUCUCGUUACAUCCUUUCUUCACG